AACGAACGCUGGCGGCAGGCCUAACACAUGCAAGUCGAACGCCCUAGCGAUAGGGAGUGGCGCACGGGUGAGUAACGCGUGGGAACGUGCCUUUCAGUCUGGAAUAACUGCGGGAAACUGCAGCUAAUACCGGAUAUUCUCUACGGAGGAAAGAUUUAUCGCUGAAAGAUCGGCCCGCGUUAGAUUAGGUAGUUGGUGGGGUAAUGGCCUACCAAGCCUACGAUCUAUAGCUGGUCUGAGAGGAUGAUCAGCCACACUGGAACUGAGACACGGUCCAGACUCCUACGGGAGGCAGCAGUGGGGAAUAUUGGACAAUGGGCGCAAGCCUGAUCCAGCCAUGCCGCGUGAGAGACGAAGGCCUUAGGGUUGUAAAGCUCUUUUGUCAGGGAAGAUAAUGACGGUACCUGAAGAAUAAGACACGGCUAACUUCGUGCCAGCCGCCGCCGUAA
rnacentral:rRNA from 1 species